rnacentral:rRNA from 1 species
AUGGACCAAUCCAUCCCUUUUUCCCAUGCAUAUGCAUCGGACUCGGAUGACGAUGGUCCUGAUGAAGAAGUUGAUGAGGAGGGGUUCACACCGAAGGAGGCCGAAGCAUUCAGGAAGGUAUUCGGGGAUCACAAGACACCAUUGUUCAAGGAUCUUAGUCUCGCGGAUGAAGCCGUUGUGGAUGGUGGAAAAUGCAUAUCUCUUGGAGCUAGGCCAAGUUCUCAC